GGCUGGGUAGCUCAUUGGUAGAGCACUUGCACAGCAUACAUGAAGCCCUGGGUUCGAACCCCAGCACUGUCA
rnacentral:tRNA from 1 species